rnacentral:rRNA from 1 species
AACGCGAAGAACCUUACCAGCCUUUGACAUGUCUUGUAUGGGUCUAGGAGACUAGACCCUUCGGUUCGGCCGGCAAGAACACAGGUGCUGCAUGGCUGUCGUCAGCUCGUGUCGUGAGAUGUUGGGUUAAGUCCCGCAACGAGCGCAACCCUUAUCCCCAGUUGCCAUCAUUAAGUUGGGCACUCUGGUGAAACCGCCUCGGAUAACGGGGAGGAAGGUGGGGAUGACGUCAAGUCCUCAUGGCCCUUUAUGUCCAGGGCUACACACGUGCUACAAUGGCCGGUACAAACCGUCGCAAACCCGUGAGGGGGAGCUAAUCGGAAAAAGCCGGCCUCAGUUCGGAUCGCAGUCUGCAACUCGACUGCGUGAAGCUGGAAUCGCUAGUAAUCGCGGAUCAGAAUGCCGCGGUGAAUACGUUCCCGGGCCUUGUACACACCGCGCAUA